GAUGAACGCUGGCGGCGUGCCUAAUACAUGCAAGUCGAGCGAACAGACGAGGAGCUUGCUCCUCUGACGUUAGCGGCGGACGGGUGAGUAACACGUGGAUAACCUACCUAUAAGACUGGGAUAACUUCGGGAAACCGGAGCUAAUACCGGAUAAUAUAUUGAACCGCAUGGUUCAAUAGUGAAAGACGGUUUUGCUGUCACUUCUAGAUGGAUCCGCGCCGCAUUAGCUAGUUGGUAAGGUAACGGCUUACCAAGGCAACGAUGCGUAGCCGACCUGAGAGGGUGAUCGGCCACACGGGAACUGAGACACGGUCCAGACGCCUACGGGAGGCAGCAGUAGGGAAUCUUCCGCAAUGGGCGAAAGCCUGACGGAGCAACGCCGCGUGAGUGAUGAAGGUCUUCGGAUCGUAAAACUCUGUUAUUAGGGAAGAACAAAUGUGUAAGUAACUAUGCACGUCUUGACGGUACCUAAUCAGAAAGCCACGGCUAACUACGUG
rnacentral:rRNA from 1 species